UUUGUGUGCUGUUGGUCCGUGGGGGUUUCUCAUUUGAUGGCAGCUGUCAUGAGCCAUGGUCGAUAAACGAUGAUAGAUUUCAUGCUUUUUUGCUUUCUCUUUUGGUAACCUCUUCGAGGCUGUGUGAAGUAUGGCAGGGUUGUUACUUUGUUGUGUAAUUUCUUUCUUGGUGAGCGAUACAGUUGUCUUGGGGGCAUCUCCAGGAAUCUCAAACAACAAGGUCAUCUUGGAAAAUGAGGAUGUGAGCAGACAAGAAACUGAGUCAUUUACAUAUAUUUCACCUGCCAGACCACAAGGGGCACACUUGGCAGAUAAUUUUGAUGACCCAUGGUUGUUUGAGAGAACUUGGGUUAGCUCUGAGGCAAAGAAGAAUGAACAUGGAGCAGAAAGUAUUGAGUACAGUGGUCGGUGGGCGCUGGAGCCGGCGCGGGACCGGGCCCAGUCAGCGGAUCUCGGCCUGGAGCUGGGCUCGCCGGCGCACCAGGCCGCCGUCAGCCGCCGGCUGGAGGCGCCGCUCCGGCUAGCCGGCCGGCCGCUGGUGCUGCAGUA